rnacentral:ncRNA from 1 species
ACUGACGGAGCCAGCGAGUUUAUCACCUUGUCCGGAAGGACUGGGUAAUCUUGUGAAACUUUGUCGUGCUGGGGAUAGAGCAUUGCAAUUAUUGCUCUUCAAC